rnacentral:rRNA from 1 species
GGGUGAGUAACACGUGGGCAACCUGCCUCAAAGAGGGGAAUAGCCCUCCGAAAGGAGGAUUAAUACCGCAUAAAGUUAGAGUUUCGCAUGAAACUUUAACCAAAGGAGUAAUCUGCUUUGAGAUGGGCCCGCGUCCAUUAGCUAGUUGGUAAGGUAAUGGUUACCAAGGCAACGAUGGGUAGCCGACCUGAGAGGGUGAUCGGCCACAUUGGAACUGAGACACGGUCCAGACUCCUACGGGAGGCAGCAGUGGGGAAUAUUGCGCAAUGGGGGAAACCCUGACGCAGCAACGCCGCGUGGGUGAUGAAGGUUUUCGGA